CGAUCGGUUGCAUCCAGGCGCAGGCGAUGUCGAACACUAGUACUAAACAGGUAGAGAAAGCGGGUUGGGUAAUACCAAGUCGGUGCGGUGGGAGGAGGAUACAUUACAGAUUAUUUAAAAUAUGAUACUAUCUUUCUUGCUGUCAAAUGUAUUUCAUAUUAAUUCGGAAUAUUUCAUAUUUAUUCUAAUCUGAAUGAUGUGAUGAUAUUGGGGGGGUUAUAUUAGCUGGGUCUGAUUUUUGAGGGGGUCAUAACCCCCCUAAGCCCCCCGCAAAUUACGCCCAUGGUGGGAACGCCUCAUUUUUAGAGCAGUGUGGCCGGUUUUACAGGACAUGGGUUUGAAGUCGUUUGAAUACACCCAGACACCUCACUCACAAGCGGUCUUAAAAUCAUUCUAAAGAGCAAUAGACUUCGCCAUGGUCAUACCAUCCACAAAUGAAUCAAAUCCACCAGUCUGCAGGUUAAGAAAAUAUACAUUACUACUGGCAUGUUUUCUUCUGACAUCAACCUGGCUGGCUUUAUGGAGAUUCCUGGAGAGUGGUCGACAAUUCCAGCCCUCCAUUCUUAAACCUGUUAAAGGAAAACAGGUUAAAACAAAUUCCUCAUCCAUAAUUUCCUUUCAUGACAUGGGAAUCAGUGAAGAGGAGUGGGAACGGCUACAGAGGACUCUGGACUGGCCCAGUCCAGAUCAGGAAAUCACUCGGCUGGAUCAGAGCACAAGCCCAGUCCACUCAACAUUCUCUAUUGUGGGACUCAAGGAGAGUUACAAAGUGGGAGAAAAGAUCUCUGUUACCAUCACAGCCAGAGACCACAACAAGAACCUGAAAAGAUAUGGAGGAGAUUUUUUCCAAGCAAAGCUAUUCAAUUUAAACCUCAAGGCGAGUGUGUACGGGGAGGUUGUGGAUCACUGUAAUGGGACUUACUCUGUUUCUCUUCUUCUGCCUUGGGAAGGUCAGGCACAAGUUUAUGUGCGUCUAGAGCACUCCAGUGAGGUUGUGCAGAUUCUUAAAAAAUACAGGGAGUCUUCAUUCCCACGCAGCCAUUAUAAAGGCCACUUUGAAGGGUCAGGACCUGAUAAAACUAGGAUCAGUGAGGUAGUAGAAUGUAAUCUUAAGUGGGGUGCAGAUGGAAGUUGGAGUAAAGGCGACUGCUGCUGUGAGUAUAAGGAUAUAAAAACAGGGACGGUGUGGCAGUGUGAGAUACCGAAGAAACUUUCUUGUGACAAACUGGUUCAUCACUCUACUGGAAGUUUGGAAAGCCCAUUAAAUCCUUUUGAGAAUCAAAUUUUCACAACGAAAUUAACAAAUGUUGCUAUUACUGGAGACACACAAAUAAUAAAUGUCCUUCCCAACACUACAGGCAACGGCACAAUGGAGAGAUGCAGAUCUGGCAUGACGACACCAGUUCCUGCAGGGUUUUAUCUGAAAGAUGUCUGGAAGUCUUUUGUGUGCAACACCCAACAGUUCAAUUCCAUACAAAUGGGAAAUUGUCUUAAAAACAAGAUUGUCUACUUGAUGGGAGACUCCACCACAAGGCAGUGGUUUGAGUAUUUAGAACAAAAAGUGCCAGGUAUACAAAGAAUGAACCUGCACACUCAUCGUUUGAGUGGACCCCUGAUGGCUGUAGAGUUAAAAAAUAACAUCAUUGUUCACUGGAGGCCACACGGUGUUCCUUUGCGUAUUUCUUACUUGUUGAUUACUGACUUGCAUUAUAUCAGCAAUGAUAUUGAUGAAAUCGCUGGUGGUCCUCAUGCAGUCGUUGUCUUUACAAUCUUUGCCCACCGGGUUUUUCACCCAGUAACAUUUUAUGUGCAUGAAGUGGCCAAAAUCCGUCAAUCUGUUGUUGCACUGCUGAGUCGUGCACCAGAGACUACCGUCAUCAUCAAGUCUGGAAACACUGCAGGAUUAAAGAAGCUUCUGGAGUCGUUUUUGAGAAGGAAAUGGGCGUGACGCAACGACCGGGAGAGCGGUUGAUUCAAACAACAGAAAAACAAUGAGGAAAUACUUGUAUGACGGACCUGAAACCAUAAAGUUAUGAGCCUGCUACAGUAUAUAUGCUGCCAAGAGAGCAGGGACAGGCCAGGAUAACGUUACACAGAACGGUCAAAGACAAAUUGAGUUGUGGUGUGAGGAGACCCAGUGGAGAACAGGACAGGUGUCUUUUGAAUAUUUUUCAAAGUGAUUGGUAUGCCAUGCAGCUGAAUGCAGUGAUGCAGGAGAUGUUCCGAGAUAUCAAAGGAGUAAUCUACUUC